GAUGAAGAACGUAGCGAAAUGCGAUACUUGGUGUGAAUUGCAGAAUCCCGUGAACCAUCGAGUCUUUGAACGCAAGUUGCGCCCGAAGCCAUCAGGUUGAGGGCACGUCUGCCUGGGCGUCACAUAUCGUUGCCCAAUGCCUAUUGCAGUGCAAUAGGAAUUUCUAGGGCCAAUGAUGGCUUCCCGUGAGCGUUGUUGCCUCGCGGUUGGUUGAAAAUCGAGUCCUUGGUAGGGUGUGCCAUGGUAGAUGGUGGUCGAGUUAGAACGAUACCGAUCAUGUGCAUGCUCCCCAAAAUAUGGCCUCUAUGACCCACACGCGUCUUUUGACGCUCAUGACGAGACCUCAGGUCAGGCGGGGCUACCCGCUGAAUUUAAGCAUAUCAAUAAGCGGAGGA
rnacentral:misc_RNA from 1 species